rnacentral:rRNA from 1 species
GACGAACGCUGGCGGCGUGCUUAACACAUGCAAGUCGAACGGCAAGGCCCUGCUUUUGUGGGGUGCUCGAGUGGCGAACGGGUGAGUAACACGUGAGUAACCUGCCCUUGACUUUGGGAUAACUUCAGGAAACUGGGGCUAAUACCGGAUAGGAGCUCCUGCUGCAUGGUGGGGGUUGGAAAGUUUCGGCGGUUGGGGAUGGACUCGCGGCUUAUCAGCUUGUUGGUGGGGUAGUGGCUUACCAAGGCUUUGACGGGUAGCCGGCCUGAGAGGGUGACCGGCGACAUUGGGACUGAGAGACGGCCCAGACGCCUACGGGAGGCAGCAGUGGGGAAUAUUGCACAAUGGGCGGAAGCCUGAUGCAGCAACGCCGCGGGCGGGAUGACGGCCUUCGGGUUGUAAACCGCUUUCGCCUGUGACGAAGCGUGAGUGACGGUAAUGGGUAAAGAAGCACCGGCUAACUACGUG